rnacentral:lncRNA from 1 species
GCCACGGAAUUCAUGCAUUGCCACGUGGAAGCUGAUCCACAUUUCUUGGCUUUCAUCUACACCACACGUAGAUCCUAGGCAAUGCUAUAAAUUCCAUUGUUAGCACAUGUAUCAGUUACUUUGGAUAUUUUGAGAAAUACUUUUCUUUGCUGUUGAAUUCUUUCCAGCGUAGGAAAUUCUCUGGCCAAAGUCCUCUUUCUCUAUCUUUCCUUUCACCACCUAGUUCCUUCCAAGAAUGGAAGCUGACUGAACUAGUUUCCUCCCUCUCCGAUCUGCAUCCAUCAAUCCGUUUACACGAUCCAACCUCCACCGCUGCAUUUGGUUUCUUC